GACGAACGCUGGCGGCGUGCCUAAUACAUGCAAGUCGAGCGCAGGAAACUGACGAAACUCUUCGGAGGGAAGGCAGUGGAAUGAGCGGCGGACGGGUGAGUAACACGUAAGGAACCUGCCUCAAGGAUUGGGAUAACUCCGAGAAAUCGGAGCUAAUACCGGAUAGUUCAUCGGACCGCAUGGUCCGCUGAUGAAAGGCGCUUCGGCGUCACCUUGAGAUGGCCUUGCGGUGCAUUAGCUAGUUGGUGGGGUAACGGCCCACCAAGGCGACGAUGCAUAGCCGACCUGAGAGGGUGAUCGGCCACACUGGGACUGAGACACGGCCCAGACUCCUACGGGAGGCAGCAGUAGGGAAUCUUCCACAAUGGACGAAAGUCUGAUGGAGCAACGCCGCGUGAGUGAUGAAGGUUUUCGGAUCGUAAAACUCUGUUGUAAGGGAAGAACACGUACGAGAGGAAAUGCUCGUACCUUGACGGUACCUUACGAGAAAGCCACGGCUAACUACGUGCCAGCCGCCGCGGUAAUAC
rnacentral:rRNA from 1 species